GGUCAGGAUAGCUCAGUUGGUAGAGCAGAGGACUGAAAAUCCU
rnacentral:tRNA from 7 species